GAUGAACGCUGGCGGCGUGCCUAAUACAUGCAAGUCGAGCGAAUGGAUUAAGAGCUUGCUCUUAUGAAGUUAGCGGCGGACGGGUGAGUAACACGUGGGUAACCUGCCCAUAAGACUGGGAUAACUCCGGGAAACCGGGGCUAAUACCGGAUAACAUUUUGAACCGCAUGGUUCGAAAUUGAAAGGCGGCUUCGGCUGUCACUUAUGGAUGGACCCGCGUCGCAUUAGCUAGUUGGUGGGGUAACGGCUCACCAAGGCAACGAUGCGUAGCCGACCUGCGAGGGGGAUCGGCCACAAGGGGACGGAGACACGGCCCAGACUCCUGCGGGAGGCAGCAGGAGAGACUCUUCCGCAAUGGACGAAAGUCUGACGGAGCAACGCCGCGUGAGUGAUGAAGGCUUUCGGGUCGUAAAACUCUGUUGUUAGGGAAGAACAAGUGCUAGUUGAAUAAGCUGGCACCUUGACGGUACCUAACCAGAAAGCCACGGCUAACUACGUGCCAGCCGCCGCAGUAA
rnacentral:rRNA from 1 species